AGAGGGAGAGAGGUUGAAGGAAAUAAAGUAGAGAGAUGAGGCAGGGCCGCCGGCUCCGGCGACGGCGAUGCCGUCCGGUGGUGGCGGCAGGAGGAGGGCCGAGAAGAGGAGAGGGAGGAGAGAGCGGCAGAGAGAGAGUGAGGAAAUGGGAGCUGCGCUGCUGCGUAUGUGUGUGGUGUGAAUAUAAAUUAGGGUGAAUGGAAGGGAAAUGGGCUUGGGCUGGCUAAUGGGCUCAAUUUAUUUAAGAUAGUUGGGCUUAGUUUAAUUAGUAAUUGGGCUCAUAGUUUAAUUUUCAUGGUCUUGCAUUUGCAUUAUUUUUCAAAGGAUGUUUUAAUAAUAUAUUUAGACUUGAAUUAUUAAUUUAAAUUUAGUUUUUAACUAAAUUUUGAGCCCAAAUCUUUUUAUAAGAAAAUAUAUUUUAUUACUUAAAUUUAUUAGAUCAAUUAUUUUUAUAUGAUCCAAUAAUCUAAAUUAUUUUAAAGUUCAAAUAGGCCCUUAUAUGUUAUUAUUUGAAUUUAUCUGACUAGGUGCGGCGCGACUAGGAUAUGAAUUUUAAUUGCAUUACUCAAGUUAGCAUUCAAGUUGAAGUUCAAGUUCAAGUUAAAUUUCCAGUUUCAGGUGAAUGAUAUUGGAGGCGCGUGGAGAGUCGAAUGGGCGCGUCGCAUCUAUUUAAAAAUAAAUGUUUCUUAAAACAUAUUAUGUUAUUUCAUGUGAUAUCUUUUGGUUAUGUAAACUCUGAAAUUCUAUACUAUUUGAGAUUUGUGUGUGAUUUGUCUAAAUAAAUGUUAUUAUAUUAUUUUAAUGU